AAAUUGAAGAGUUUGAUCAUGGCUCAGAUUGAACGCUGGCGGCAGGCCUAACACAUGCAAGUCGAACGGUAACAGGAAGCAGCUUGCUGCUUCGCUGACGAGUGGCGGACGGGUGAGUAAUGUCUGGGAAACUGCCUGAUGGAGGGGGAUAACUACUGGAAACGGUGGCUAAUACCGCAUAACGUCGCAGGACCAAAGAGGGGGACCUUCGGGCCUCUUGCCAUCAGAUGUGCCCAGAUGGGAUUAGCUUGUUGGUGAGGUAACGGCUCACCAAGGCGACGAUCCCUAGCUGGUCUGAGAGGAUGACCAGCCACACUGGAACUGAGACACGGUCCAGACUCCUACGGGAGGCAGCAGUGGGGAAUAUUGCACAAUGGGCGCAAGCCUGAUGCAGCCAUGCCGCGUGUAUGAAGAAGGCCUUCGGGUUGUAAAGUACUUUCAGCGGGGAGGAAGGUGUUGUGGUUAAUAACCGCAGCAAUUGACGUUACCCGCAGAAGAAGCACCGGCUAACUCCGUGCCAGCAGCCGCGGUAAUACGGAGGGUGCAAGCGUUAAUCGGAAUUACUGGGCGUAAAGCGCACGCAGGCGGUCUGUCAAGUCGGAUGUGAAAUCCCCGGGCUCAACCUGGGAACUGCAUUCGAAACUGGCAGGCUGGAGUCUUGUAGAGGGG
rnacentral:rRNA from 1 species